UUUACUUCUAUAAACAUUGCAGGUGUGGCUGCUGUGUUGCAUGUAUAUCAGUAGGUGGUGGAGAGGAGAGGGGCUAUGUCUAUCCUCAGUGUUCUGACCUGUGAACAUUACUUGAAAAAAGCAAGCCUGAUAAG